AACGAACGCUGGCGGCAUGCCUAACACAUGCAAGUCGAACGAGACCUUCGGGUCUAGUGGCGCACGAGUGCGUAACGCGUGGGAACCUGCCCUUAGGUUCGGAAUAACUCCCCGAAAGGGGUGCUAAUACCGGAUAAUGUCUUCGGACCAAAGAUUUAUCGCCUUUGGAUGGGCCCGCGUUGGAUUAGCUAGUUGGUAGGGUAAAAGCCUACCAAGGCGACGAUCCAUAGCUGGUCUGAGAGGAUGAUCAGCCACACUGGGACUGGGACACGGCCCAGACUCCUACGGGAAGCAGCAGUGGGGAAUAUUGGACAAUGGGCGAAAGCCUGAUCCAGCAAUGCCGCGUGAGUGAUGAAGGCCUUAGGGUUGUAAAGCUCUUUUACCCGGGAUGAUAAUGACAGUACCGGGAGAAUAAGCUCCGGCUAACUCCGUG
rnacentral:rRNA from 1 species